rnacentral:rRNA from 1 species
GGUUAAGCGACUAAGCGUACACGGUGGAUGCCCUGGCAGUCAGAGGCGAUGAAGGGCGUGCUAAUCUGCGAUAAGCGCCGGUAAGGUGAUAUGAACCGUUAUAACCGGCGAUACCCGAAUGGGGAAACCCAGUGUGAUUCGUCACACUAUCAUUAACUGAAUCCAUAGGUUAAUGAGGCGAACCGGGGGAACUGAAACAUCUAAGUACCCCGAGGAAAAGAAAUCAACCGAGAUUCCCCCAGUAGCGGCGAGCGAACGGGGAGGAGCCCAGAGCCUGAAUCAGCAUGUGUGUUAGUGGAAGCGUCUGGAAAGGCGCGCGAUACAGGGUGACAGCCCCGUACACAAAAGCGCAUAUGCUGUGAGCUCGAUGAGUAGGGCGGGACACGUGGUAUCCUGUCUGAAUAUGGGGGGACCAUCCUCCAAGGCUAAAUACUCCUGACUGACCGAUAGUGAACCAGUACCGUGAGGGAAAGGCGAAAAGAACCCCGGCGAGGGGAGUGAAAAAGAACCUGAAACCGUGUACGUACAAGCAGCGGGAGCCCCACCACUAAGCCAGUGGUGAACUCCACAUACGCAUCCUUUGCUGAGGAUACGGUUAACGGAGCGAAAGCGACGUUCAACCUCAAAAGAAGCAGAGGGGGCUUAGUGGUGGGGUGACUGCGUACCUUUUGUAUAAUGGGUCAGCGACUUAUAUUCUGUAGCAAGGUUAACCGAAUAGGGGAGCCGGAGGGAAACCGAGUCUUAAUUGGGCGUUAAGUUGCAGGGUAUAGACCCGAAACCCGGUGAUCUAGCCAUGGGCAGGUUGAAGGUUGGGUAACACUAACUGGAGGACCGAACCGACUAAUGUUGAAAAAUUAGCGGAUGACCUGUGGCUGGGGGUGAAAGGCCAAUCAAACCGGGAGAUAGCUGGUUCUCCCCGAAAGCUAUUUAGGUAGCGCCUCGUGAAUUCAUCUCCGGGGGUAGAGCACUGUUUCGGCUAGGGGGCCAUCCCGGCUUACCAACCCGAUGCAAACUGCGAAUACCGGAGAAUGUUAUCACGGGAGACACACGGCGGGUGCUAACGUCCGUCGUGAAGAGGGAAACAACCCAGACCGCCAGCUAAGGUCCCAAAGUCAUGGUUAAGUGGGAAACGAUGUGGGAAGGCCCAGACAGCCAGGAUGUUGGCUUAGAAGCAGCCAUCAUUUAAAGAAAGCGUAAUAGCUCACUGGUCGAGUCGGCCUGCGCGGAAGAUGUAACGGGGCUAAACCAUGCACCGAAGCUGCGGCAGCGACACUGUGUGUUGUUGGGUAGGGGAGCGUUCUGUAAGCCUGUGAAGGUGGCCUGUGAGGGUUGCUGGAGGUAUCAGAAGUGCGAAUGCUGACAUAAGUAACGAUAAAGCGGGUGAAAAGCCCGCUCGCCGGAAGACCAAGGGUUCCUGUCCAACGUUAAUCGGGGCAGGGUGAGUCGACCCCUAAGGCGAGGCCGAAAGGCGUAGUCGAUGGGAAACGGGUUAAUAUUCCCGUACUUGGUGUUACUGCGAAGGGGGGACGGAGAAGGCUAUGUUGGCCGGGCGACGGUUGUCCCGGUUUAAGCGUGUAGGCUGGUUUUCCAGGCAAAUCCGGAAAAUCAAGGCUGAGGCGUGAUGACGAGGCACUACGGUGCUGAAGCAACAAAUGCCCUGCUUCCAGGAAAAGCCUCUAAGCAUCAGGUAACAUCAAAUCGUACCCCAAACCGACACAGGUGGUCAGGUAGAGAAUACCAAGGCGCUUGAGAGAACUCGGGUGAAGGAACUAGGCAAAAUGGUGCCGUAACUUCGGGAGAAGGCACGCUGACACGUAGGUGAAGUGAUUUACUCAUGGAGCUGAAGUCAGUCGAAGAUACCAGCUGGCUGCAACUGUUUAUUAAAAACACAGCACUGUGCAAACACGAAAGUGGACGUAUACGGUGUGACGCCUGCCCGGUGCCGGAAGGUUAAUUGAUGGGGUCAGCGCAAGCGAAGCUCCUGAUCGAAGCCCCGGUAAACGGCGGCCGUAACUAUAACGGUCCUAAGGUAGCGAAAUUCCUUGUCGGGUAAGUUCCGACCUGCACGAAUGGCGUAAUGAUGGCCAGGCUGUCUCCACCCGAGACUCAGUGAAAUUGAACUCGCUGUGAAGAUGCAGUGUACCCGCGGCAAGACGGAAAGACCCCGUGAACCUUUACUAUAGCUUGACACUGAACAUUGAGCCUUGAUGUGUAGGAUAGGUGGGAGGCUUUGAAGUGUGGACGCCAGUCUGCAUGGAGCCGACCUUGAAAUACCACCCUUUAAUGUUUGAUGUUCUAACGUGGACCCGUAAUCCGGGUUGCGGACAGUGUCUGGUGGGUAGUUUGACUGGGGCGGUCUCCUCCUAAAGAGUAACGGAGGAGCACGAAGGUUGGCUAAUCCUGGUCGGACAUCAGGAGGUUAGUGCAAUGGCAUAAGCCAGCUUGACUGCGAGCGUGACGGCGCGAGCAGGUGCGAAAGCAGGUCAUAGUGAUCCGGUGGUUCUGAAUGGAAGGGCCAUCGCUCAACGGAUAAAAGGUACUCCGGGGAUAACAGGCUGAUACCGCCCAAGAGUUCAUAUCGACGGCGGUGUUUGGCACCUCGAUGUCGGCUCAUCACAUCCUGGGGCUGAAGUAGGUCCCAAGGGUAUGGCUGUUCGCCAUUUAAAGUGGUACGCGAGCUGGGUUUAGAACGUCGUGAGACAGUUCGGUCCCUAUCUGCCGUGGGCGCUGGAGAACUGAGGGGGGCUGCUCCUAGUACGAGAGGACCGGAGUGGACGCAUCACUGGUGUUCGGGUUGUCAUGCCAAUGGCACUGCCCGGUAGCUAAAUGCGGAAGAGAUAAGUGCUGAAAGCAUCUAAGCACGAAACUUGCCCCGAGAUGAGUUCUCCCUGAGACUUAGAGUCUCCUGAAGGAACGUUGAAGACGACGACGUUGAUAGGCCGGGUGUGUAAGCGCAGCGAUGCGUUGAGCUAACCGGUACUAAUGAACCGUGAGGCUUAACCUU